rnacentral:rRNA from 1 species
AGAAAGCCACGGCGAACUAUGUGCCAGCAGCCGCGGUAAUACAUAGGUGGCAAGCGUUAUCCGGGAUUUAUUGGGCGUACAGGGUGCGUAGGCGGUUGUGUAAGUUUAAGGUUAAAUCCCAGAGCUCAACUCUGGUUCGCCUUAAAAACUACAUNACUAGAAUGCAAGAGAGGUAAAUGGAAUUCCAUGUGUAGCGGUAAAAUGCGUAGAUAUAUGGAAGAACACCUGUGGCGAAAGCGGUUUACCAGCUUGUGAUUGACGCUGAGGCACGAAAGCGUGGGGAGCAAAUAGGAUUAGAUACCCUAGUAGUCCACGCCGUAAACGUUGAGUACUAGGUGUCAGGAAUUAUCUUGGCGCCGCAGCUAACGCAUUAAGUACUCCGCCUGAGUAGUAUGCACGCAAGUGUGAAACUCAAAGGAAUUGACGGGGACCCGCACAAGUGGUGGAGCAUGUGGUUUAAUUCGAAGCAACACGAAGAACCUUACCAGGGCUUGACAUCCAGUGCAAAGGCAUAGAGAUAUGCUGGAGGCUAACAUUGAGACAGGUGGUGCAUGGUUGUCGUCAGUUCGUGCCGUGAGGUGUUUGGUUAAGUCCAGUAACGAACGCAACCCUUGUCAUUAAUUACUAACAUUUAGUUGAGGACUUUAAUGAGACUGCUAGUGUAAGCUAGAGGAAGGUGGGGAUGACGUCAAAUCAUCAUGCCCCUUAUGUCCUGGGCUACACACGUGCUACAAUGGCUGAUACAAAGAGUCGCAAUCUCGCAAGGAGGAGCUAAUCUCAUAAAAUCAGUCUCAGUUCGGAUUGAAGGCUGCAACUCGCCUUCAUGAAGCCGGAAUCACUAGUAAUCGCGAAUCAGCUAUGUCGCGGUGAAUACGUUCUCGGGUCUUGUACACACCGCCCGUCACACCAUGAGAGUUGGUAACACCAGAAGUAGGUAGCUCAACCGAA